CUAGGGGACACAGCUGCCAUCGGCCUGGCAGAAUGGGGUGGGACGCACCUUCAGUGACUUGAGAAAGCCCAGGGACUUCUGGGGGAUGUUGGCAAGGUGCCCGGAAUGCUGACCUGUGGAAGCCACAGAGAAGGGGCAGCUGGCCUCCGUGGUAAAUGAAGACCCGAAUGGGAGAACAGUUCGACGUGUCUCUUCUGAGCCAAAGUUCCCUCGACAAGGAAAAACCCUCUUUUGCUUCUGUUCUGUGGCCACUGAGAGAAACUGAAGCCGGAGAAGAUGCCCAGGACCCCUGAGGCCCCACCAGCCCGAGCGCCCACCGGCCACCCGGGAGGCUCCAAGGCUCAGGGAGGGGUGUUCCCUGUCACCUCCGGCCACACCACGCCAGCACCCCAGACGGUCACCAGGGAGACACGGGCCGAGUGCCCCUGAGCUCUGAGCGGUGACCCAGGAGAAAGUGAGCUGUCCCCGACACGGCUGUGUAACGACCAUGAUUGUAGUCGUCAGCAUGCUCUCAGGGAGGAGGCUGGGAUCGGGGAGUCACCGCCUCGAGCCAGAAGCUGACGGGACCCUCCUCGCCCCCCACGCUGGGUGGAGACACAGUCGCCCCCCACCACGCGUGUUGCUGUCAUUUAACUUCCGCAAAAGGGAAGUCAGCGUAACAUUCCACUCCUUGGUCCCACCAGCCCCAUUUCACUGGCCAGACGGCCAUGCGUGGCUGAUGGCUACCCUGCUGGAUAGCCCAGAGUGUAGGACGCUUCCCUCCACCCAGAAGCUUCUGCUGGACAACGUGGUGCUGGCUGGUGGAGUCUUGAAAGACCUCGCCGGAGCAUCAGGCAGUGGAGGGGGUCCCCAGCGGACCUCCCCGGCCACCCGACCAGCCAGCCCAGGGCCUGUCCGCGGGCUCGCCCUUACCGCAGCU